rnacentral:lncRNA from 1 species
UCAUAUCCUCCCAGGUGGUGAUACGAGGAAGCCUUUGGGUCUCACGCAUAUGUUCAACGUUAUGCCAGUACCAGUGAGCUUGCCCAAUAAGCUUCAUUUUAGCGAACCGUACUUUUCUUCAUCAAUUAUUUUGUACCACUCAAAAUAGUUAUCCAUGGCUGCUCUCCAAUCAAGGUACACACUCGGCUCUAAUUGACCAGCAAAUGUGGGAGCAUCUACUCAUACGGUACGAAGUAGUCGCUCGUUAAGAUCGCGCUGAUGAUCAGGAGAAAGUUGGUUCCUAGGGGGAUGAGGAAAAGCUACAGGUGGUGUGGUCAAACCAAGCUCGAGAUAACCUGCGAUUGGGGUU